CAGAGGGGCAAGCGUUGCUCGGAAUCACGUGGGCGUAAAGGGCGCGUAGGCGGGACGCCAAGUCGGUCGUGAAAUCUCCGGGCUCAACCCGGAGGAGUCGGCCGAACUGGCGUUCUUGAGGGAGGCAGAGGAGUCUGGAAUUCCCGGUGUAGCGGUGAAAUGUGUAGAGAUCGGGAGGAACACCGGUGGCGAAGGCGGGACUCUGGGCCUACCCUGACGCUGAGGCGCGAAGGCGUGGGGAGCAAACGGGAUUAGAUACCCCGGUAGCCCACGCGGUAAACGAUGACGACUAGGUGUGGGGGGGUUCAGUCCCUUCCGUGCCGCAGCUAACGCAUUAAGUCGUCCGCCUGGGGAGUACGGCCGCAAGGUUG
rnacentral:rRNA from 1 species